rnacentral:rRNA from 1 species
AUGUAUCCACUGGCAUGGGCAGUUGUUGAGAGGGAAACAAAUGAUACAUGGAAGUGGUUUAUUGCCCUGCUUAUUAAAGAUCUUGACAUUAAUGACAAUGGAGCUGGCUGGGUGUUCAUUUCAGAUCAGCAGAAG